rnacentral:lncRNA from 1 species
CGGAUGUGAUGGCAUUGAUCUUACCAAUCCAUGGUCUUCGGCGGAUGCAAUUGUAGGGAGAGACUCCGUCAAUAAUCAUGAAUGUGUGGGUGCUGAUCACUGGUGGGGAGCAGACGUCGAGCUCUAUCGUUUCUACAGUGAUUGUCGUUGCUCCAUUGAAGCCGGUCAGUGACUUGGCUGAUCUGUUAACCUUGGUCUUCAUUCCCAUCUGUUGGAUGUUGGCUGCG